ensembl:lncRNA
UGAAAUAAUUUUAGAAAUAGAAUGCCCACAUGUCCAAUGAAUAGAGAAUGGCUAUGUAACUGAAGACAUGACAACACCAAUCUAAAAUGAUAAAUGUGAAAACUACACGCAAGCACAGAAAUAUGAAGAUAAAAUUAGGCAAAAUGAAAAUGAAGCAGAAAAAUAAAAUUUUUUUAACAUCGGAGUUAAUGAAUAUUCUAAAAACCACUGAACGGUACACUUUAAAAUGGUGAACUUCAUGAUAUGAGAAUUAUAUUUCAAUUUUUUAAAAAAAUUCUAAAGGAGACUACCAAGAUAUGUAAAAUAUUUCUAUGGUAAAGUAAGGAGAUAGUUUGCUUAUGUUUUCCUCCAAAGUUUAAUAUUUCCUAUUACUUAGCAAGAUUCAUUGUACAAUAGCAAAUGCUAUUUUUGAUAUUUGUUAGUGUUGGAGAAGGCAAUGGCAAGCCACUCCAGUACUCUUGCCUAGAAAAUCCCAUGGAUGGAGGAGCCUGGUGGGCUACAGUCCAUGGGGUGGCCACUAGUCGCUCGUGACUGAAUGACUUCACUUUCACUUUUCACUUUUCACUUUUACUCAAUGGAGAAGGAAAUGGCAACCCACUCCAGUGUUCUUGCCUGGAGAAUCCCAGGGACGGCGGAGCCUGGUGGGCUGCUGUCUAUGGGGUCGCACGGAGUCGGACAUGACUGAAGCGACUUAGCAGCAUAAGGAGUUAAGAGACAGCAAGAGAAAACUCUGGGGGCCAAGUGCUCCUGCCUCCCCAACAUAUUCCUUCAGGAAAGAAGCAAUAUGGAGCCACUGUGUUGCACAGCUGAAAGUAUCAGGAUGUAUGUCAACUGUACUUCAGUUAACAAACAAAAAAGGACUUGGAGUAGUGAACCCCUACACAAAUGCUUAGCAAUUCUUCAUGGGUGUGACCAUUCUCUUUUCAUGGGUGAUGCUAUGAAUUAAUAAUGAACACUACAAGUACAUCAUAGAUCAGAAUUAAGAAAACUCAGAAAUGAAGACGUGAAACUCCCAAAAGAAUAAGAAAAUAUUGAAAAGUACAUGUAAAUGAAAUUUAAACAGAAACCUGCUAUCAAAUAAUGCCUUGUAAGGAAUGAAACAGUAAGGAGGUAGAGCUUAAACACUGUUUAAAAACACUUCUGGAAAAUAAAUUAAGCAAAAAUUUAUAAAAUAUUUCAUGAGUGUGUUAAAAGUGAAAUAUAAUCAUAAGAGAUCUGAUAUUUGAAAAAUUCAAGGACCUGAAAGAGAAAAAUCAAUAAAAGAUGCAAAGCAAAUAAUAGGCAUUAUUGUCCAAAUUUUUCUGAUAAUUUUAAAAACAACUUUUAAAUUGUCUUUUGAAGAGAACAAUGUGCAUUCACUUGUAAUGACUAAAGGCAGAUGAUAUUCUAAUAAACUUACAGGGCUUUAAAGAAAAAAAUCUUUUGGGCAUCUAGAACAAAAUAGCACGUGACAUAUAAUGGAACAAAAAUCAGAAUUCGAUCAGACUUUUUGGAGAGACAUACUCUGUGCCAGAAAAAAAGUAGAGCAAUGUAUUUGAACUGCUCAAGGAGAGAAAUGAUGAGGCAUGAACUUUCUAGCAGGUAAGUAACUGGGUACCAAAGGCCCUGUCAUUCAAGUCAUCAUGAAGAUCUUGGGAAAUACUGUUCUCAUGAUCAAAGGAAUGAACAGACUUCAGAAAAUAGAAUCCUUAGAAAGACACAUCAGGACAGAAGGUAUAGACUAAAUUCAUAGUCACCUGAUAUAAUGAAGACUGAAUGACGGUGACAUAAGAGAGGGGGUGACCUUGGUGGUGGACACGAGGGUGAAUGCCGGACAGCAAUUCAUUUAGUCCUACCUCUGAUUAAGGUGAUUUUUAUAGGAAAAUAUGUUAAAAGCAACUGGAUAGAUGAAUGUCAUUUAAUAUAGAAAGCUUCCACAGUAUAUAUAAAACAUAUAUCUGAACAUAAUACUAAAGCUAUACAAUAAAAAAAAACUAAGCUGUACUAAAUUAGGUUCUUUAGGAGAUAAGCAGUGAGGCCGACCCUGUUCCUUGUCCAGUUGGAAACCUCCUGACUCUGUUCUGCUUCCUUCCCCUCUGAGGCCCAGGCUGAGGCCCCCAGGUCAAGGCCUUCACAGGUGUCAGGGCAGGACUUGCAACACAAACACGAGGGCUGGAAUCACUGAGGAGGCUCAAAGACAAAUGGAAGAAGGCUCCCUGGGCCGUGUGUGUAGUGAGUGUGCAGGAGCCAGAAGACUCCGCAGGCCGGGGAAGUAGCCUUGGGUCCUGACCUCCCCAGAGGUCAGAUCCACAGGGCACUGGGGUCUCUUUGCUGAAGGUGUUGUCUGUUAGCAGAGAGGGAAUAUGAAUGUCCCGUGGGAGCAACUGAAUUGGUCGUUUGUCUGGGUAGCCUUCAAGUCCCUGGACAGUGAAGCUGGUGCAGAGGAAAGGGGAAGGCCUGAGGCUCUGGGGCAAAGAAGCUGAGCGCCUCUCCCCUGGAACCUGUGAGGAGCAGGGGGUCUGAUGACACAGGGGGGAAGAGUGACCCUGCCCCUCCAGCCCACACUCAAUACCACCAAUCAUGAGAUCUGCCCGGUGGAAAUGACAGAGACACGGGCAGCUCCCUUUACCCCUGAUCAUUCCUUCUAGAUCCCCUGGAGAAGGAAAUGGCAACCCACUCCAGUUUUCUCGCCUGGAGAAUCCCAUGAACAGAGGAGCCUGGUGGGCUACAGUCCAUGGGGUUGCAAAGAGUUGGACACGACUUAGCAACUAAAGGACAACGAUUCUAAGCCCCCAGCAAAGCUUUGCCUGUGCUUUUAAUUUAAAAAAUCAUUAAGCUAUAGUAAUAAAAACAUGGGUUUAUCUCAGUGGUAUAUUGCAACAUGAAAAGUUUACAGAAGACACUGCUUUUUAAAGUGUAAUAAAAAAAGUGGCGUUCAUG